rnacentral:rRNA from 1 species
UACGCAGGGGGCUAGCGUUGCUCGGAAUCACUGGGCGUAAAGGGUGCGUAGGCGGGUCUUUAAGUCAGGGGUGAAAUCCUGGAGCUCAACUCCAGAACUGCCUUUGAUACUGCGGAUCUUGAGUUCGGGAGAGGUGAGUGGAACUGCGAGUGUAGAGGUGAAAUUCGUAGAUAUUCGCAAGAACACCAGUGGCGAAGGCGGCUCACUGGCCCGAUACUGACGCUGAGGCACGAAAGCGUGGGGAGCAAACAGG